CUACGGGUUGCUCCAGCGAGGAAUAUUGCACAAUGGGGGGAACCCUGAUGCAGCAACGCCGCGUGGAGGAUGACGCAUUUCGGUGUGUAAACUCCUUUUAUAUGUCAAGAAAAUGACGGUAGCAUAUGAAUAAGCACCGGCUAACUCCGUGCCAGCAGCCGCGGUAAUACGGAGGGUGCAAGCGUUACUCGGAAUCACUGGGCGUAAAGGACGCGUAGGCGGGUUGGAAAGUCAGGUGUGAAAUCCUACAGCUUAACUGUAGAACUGCACUUGAAACUUCUAAUCUAGAGUAUGGGAGGGGGAGAUGGAAUUAGUGGUGUAGGGGGAAAAUCCGUAGAUAUCACUAGGAAUACCUAAAGCGAAGGCGAUCUCCUGGAACAUUACUGACGCUAAGGCGUGAAAGCGUGGGGAGCAAACAGGAUUAGAUACCCCAGUAGUC
rnacentral:rRNA from 1 species